rnacentral:rRNA from 1 species
GUGGGGAAUAUUGGGCAAUGGGCGAAAGCCUGACCCAGCAACGCCGCGUGAAGGAAGAAGGUUUUCGGAUCGUAAACUUCUAUCCUUGGUGAAGAUAAUGACGGUAGCCAAGAAGGAAGCCCCGGCUAACUACGUGCCAGCAGCCGCGGUAAUACGUAGGGGGCAAGCGUUGUUCGGAAUGAUUGGGCGUAAAGGGCGCGUAGGCGGCCCGGUAAGUCUGAAGUGAAAGUCCUGCUUUUAAGGUGGGAAUUGCUUUGGAUACUGUCGGGCUUGAGUGCAGGAGAGGUAAGCGGAAUUCCCGGUGUAGCGGUGAAAUGCGUAGAGAUCGGGAGGAACACCAGUGGCGAAGGCGGCUUACUGGACUGUAACUGACGCUGAGGCGCGAAAGUGUGGGGAGCAAACAGGAUUAGAAACCCUGGUAGUCC